GUUCCCAUAGUAUAAUGGAUAGAACGAUGGCCUCCGGAGCCGUAGAUAGCGGUUCGAUUCCGCUUGGGAACG
rnacentral:tRNA from 1 species